AACGAACGCUGGCGGCAUGCCUAACACAUGCAAGUCGAACGAUGCCUUCGGGCAUAGUGGCGCACGGGUGCGUAACGCGUGGGAAUCUGCCCUUGGCUUCGGAAUAACAGUUAGAAAUGACUGCUAAUACCGGAUGAUGUCCCCCUGAGAGAUCUUGGUGACCAAAGAUUUAUCGGCCAGGGAUGAGCCCGCGUAGGAUUAGGUAGUUGGUGGGGUAAAGGCCUACCAAGCCGACGAUCCUUAGCUGGUCUGAGAGGAUGAUCAGCCACACUGGGACUGAGACACGGCCCAGACUCCUACGGGAGGGAGCAGUGGGGAAUAUUGGACAAUGGGGGGAACCCUGAUCCAGCAAUGCCGCGUGAGUGAUGAAGGCCUUAGGGUUGUAAAGCUCUUUUACCAGGGAUGAUAAUGACAGUACCUGGAGAAUAAGCUCCGGCUAACUCCGUG
rnacentral:rRNA from 1 species